rnacentral:rRNA from 1 species
UUUUCUAUGGAAGCUUGCUUCCACUGAGAAGAUAGUGGCGGACGGGUGAGUAACACGUGGGUAACCUGCCCAUAAGAGGGGGAUAACAUCCGGAAACGGGUGCUAAUACCGCAUAGUUUUCUUGGUCGCAUGAUCGAGAAAGGAAAGACGGCCUUUGCGCUGUCGCUUAUGGAUGGACCCGCGGCGUAUUAGUUAGUUGGUGAGGUAACGGCUCACCAAGACGAUGAUACGUAGCCGACCUGAGAGGGUGAUCGGCCACAUUGGGACUGAGACACGGCCCAAACUCCUACGGGAGGCAGCAGUAGGGAAUCUUCCGCAAUGGACGAAAGUCUGACGGAGCAACGCCGCGUGAGUGAAGAAGGUUUUCGGAUCGUAAAACUCUGUUGUCAGAGAAGAACAAGUCGGAGAGUAACUGCUCCGGCCUUGACGGUAUCUGACCAGAAAGCCACGGCUAACUACGUGCCAGCAGCCGCGGUAAUACGUAGGUGGCAAGCGUUGUCCGAAUUUAUUGGGCGUAAAGCGAGCGCAGGCGGUUCCUUAAGUCUGAUGUGAAAGCCCACGGCUCAACCGUGGAAGGUCAUUGGAAACUGGGGAACUUGAGUGCAGAAGAGGAGAGUGGAAUUCCAUGUGUAGCGGUGAAAUGCGUAGAU